rnacentral:rRNA from 1 species
AGUGAACGCUGGCGGUAGGCCUAACACAUGCAAGUCGAACGGCAGCACAGUAAGAGCUUGCUCUUACGGGUGGCGAGUGGCGGACGGGUGAGGAAUACAUCGGAAUCUACUUUUUCGUGGGGGAUAACGUAGGGAAACUUACGCUAAUACAGCAUACGACCUACGGGUGAAAGCAGGGGAUCUUCGUCCCUUGCGCGAUUGAAUGAGCCGAUGUCGGAUUAGCUAGUUGGCGGGGUAAAGGCCCACCAAGGCGAGGAUCCGUAGCUGGUCUGAGAGGGUGGAUAGCCACAGUGGAACUGGGACACGGUCCAGGCUCCUAGGGGGGGCGACAGUGGGGAAUAUUGGACAAUGGGCGGAAGGCUGAUCCAGCCGUGCCGCGUGGGUGAAGAAGGGCUUCGGGUUGGAAAGCCCUUUUGGUGGGAAAGAAAAGCAGCAGGUUAAAACCCCGCUGUUCUGACGGUACCCAAAGAAGAAGCACCGGCUAACUUCGUG